GCCUGGAUAGCUCAGUUGUUUAGAGUGUGAUGCUGAUAACAGCAUGGUUGCAGGUUCAAUCCCUGUAUUGCGUA